AAAUUUUCGAGUUAAUCGAGUUUUCGAAUCUCAUUUUAUCAUCCUAACUUUAUUUGAAGUUUUCUCGAAUCGAGUCGAGUGAGAUGGAAUUCAAAUCGAAUCGAAUAUAUUUGUUCGAGUUAAAUUUUAAAAAAUAAUUUUGGGUCCUUGUAACCAUUGCCACCCAUCGUAAUAAAAUUUAUCCACCUUAAUCAAAAUUUUUAUUAACU
rnacentral:lncRNA from 1 species